UUUUUGAGUCCCAUAACCAUUUGCCUUCCUUCUUCAGCCUCUCUCUUUUCCGGUCAUCUUCUUGUUCAUCUCCUCCUCCUACUUCGUUGGUUUUCUGUUCAUCUCUUGCAGUCUUGCUGGUUUUCUUCUCUUUCUCUUUUAUUUUAUUUUAUGGAUCAUUAAAUAUUUCUCCUUCCAUCUUUUGUUGUACCAAUGAAUGGCUAUUUGGAUGGGAAAAACAGUCUAAGGUUUUGUUACUGCAGUUAUUUAUGCCCUCAUUUCUUCCGCUAUUUCUGAUGCAAUAAUUUCCACCUCAAAAGUUCACUAGCACUGACAAAGCUGUGAAUUUUCAAAGGGCCAACCUUCUGUGGCCCUCGGCAAGGAGUUUCCCGCAAGUGCACCACGGUUAAUUCAGGUUUUACCCAGUCCGAUGGCCCUCAGAAAUUGUUUGCACCCAGUGGGUUUCGAACUUGAGACCUUGAAAGGGAGCAAACCCCAAGGCUCAAGUCAAUUGCCACCAGGCCAACCCCUGAGGGUUUCUUGAUAUGUUAACUGCGUUUACUUCUAAAUCGCCCUACAGAGCAGACUUAGAUCAGUUUUUUCCAUGUCUGGCCUUCAAGUUUUCUCUGUUAAACAACUAUGGUGGCUAAAAAGUUCUGGGCCCUUACUCUUGUAAACAACAAGAAGACCCCAUUCGCUUGAGGAUCCACCAUUCUUGCCUUCUCCGGUUACCAGGUUAUGAUUUCUUUGAUUGGGGCAGAAGGCAGCUUGAAAUAGGGAGGAGAAUGAGAGAUGAUAUUAUUGAACUGGGAACUCUGCAGAGUAUAAUGAAUGAAUUGCACACAAGUACAAAAAUGUCUCAAAAUUAUAUCACGUUGCUGCAAUCAGAGUUUACAACCUUGAAUUUUGAAGAUGGUUUUCCAGAAUAGAGCAACAUGAAACAACAUGCUGAUGAAUCUCCGACAGAGUGAAUAUUCUUGUCCAGAUGAAUAUCGAUUUAUCUCUUAUCAUUGUCACUUGCUCGACCUAGAGGUUGUUGGAAACGCAUGAACGUGGGAUGAGGCACUUCAGCUGCAGUUGAACUGCAAAACUAUGUAAAGGGAGUUUCCCGUUGUUGUUUUGUCCACUAAAGAAGACUUUCAGUACUGGUGCUUAGCUUUUUGGAGAAAUUGCUUUGAUUGGGAGGUUGGCUCUACUGUUGAAUGAAUUAGAGAAGAUGAUAAAAGCAAAAAAAAAUAGGCAUUACUCUAUUAUUCAUGCUACAAGAUCUCAAUAGGGAUGAGGACUGCAAUACAAGUUGGGCUUGGAAAGAGUUGUGGAUUUCAAAGGCACCUUAUAAAGUUCAGCUAUUUUAGUUGGCCUUCAAAAUAGUAGUUAUGAAUUUCAAAUGCACUGUUUGUUAUGCAUGCUAUCAGCAUUUAAACUUUGUAGGAGUCUGCUCUGAUGGUCCGCAUAGCCUCUUAUUUUUUAUUAUAUAGCCCGAAAAAAUGGCGGGUUAAACGGGUUUGAGAUGUUGAUGAAUUCAGUAGAUGGCCGAGGAGAAGACUAAA